rnacentral:rRNA from 1 species
UACAGAGGAUGCAAGCGUUAUCCGGAAUGAUUGGGCGUAAAGCGUCUGUAGGUGGCUUUUUAAGUCCGCCGUCAAAUCCCAGGGCUCAACUCUGGACAGGCGGUGGAAACUACCAAGCUGGAGUACGGUAGGGGCAGAGGGAAUUUCCGGUGGAGCGGUGAAAUGCGUAGAUAUCGGAAGGAACGCCGGUGGCAAAAGCGGCGUGCUGGACCUCUUCUGACGCUGAGGCGCGAAAGCCAGGGUAGCGAACGGG